CGUUUUACAGGUCGUUAGAUACCACGGACCUCUUGAGAAAAUUACAGAAACCCACGUGGCAAGAAAAGUGGAUAUUUGGAAAAGGUUGAGCAGCUGACAGUCAACUGUGUAUUCGAAAUAUACAACAUACGUUUUAGAAAAUGACACGUAAAAGGAAAAGUAACGACUGCUAUUCAGAUAGACAUAAACGUCGACUCGUUGAACAACAAACUAAAUUAAGUAUUAUUAGAAUGAAGCACGUUAAGCACAUAUAGUACGAAAUGUAAAGUCGUGAUCCAAACGCUUUUUUUAAAAUAUACAUGAAAAUAAGUAUAGUUCUUUCUCGAU